AUGUUUUGAGAGACAAAUGGUGUUCUGCAGAUUGGGUUCUGCACACAAGCACACGGAUACAAGUAAUUGGGAAUACUUUAUGAUUGGAUUUGGAAUUCUUGAUAAUAAAAGUGAAUUGAAGGGGUUUGAUCCAAUGGAAUUCACUCACAAGGGAAUGAUUGGAACCAUUUAAUCCAUUGGAAUCCAUUUAUAAUGGAGGAGCUGUCCACGUGCCUGGCAGUGCUGCUGGGCAUUAAAAUUACUGACAGCUGUAAUGCCCAUUCUCCGCACUGCUGACUGUGUGGAUCCCUGGUCAGGUUCAUGACAGGAGACCCUCGUCCAGGAAUCUCCAGUGACAGAAGACAUCAAAAGUGCUCAAAAUGCUGUUGAAGGAAAAGUCUUGAGCCUGGAUGCAGAUGGAGGAUUAAACCUGGCAAGAUCGGCAGAGUAUCAGGAAACUGGCUUUAACCUGCUGACCUGCUUGCUGUUGAAAUCAAGUCAGAAUGAUUGAGUACCACAAAGCAUGUGGGACAAACAAACCUACAAACUGGAAAUAGGAGCAGGCCAUUCAGCCCCUCAAGCCUGUAAAAGCAAGUUGGGAAAUCAUUCAUUGUGAAUGCAAAGAUAUCUACGGUUUCAGGCUCAACCAGAUAAAGUUUCACUGUUGUUGAUAGGAACAUUCCUACUUUUGGCAAGAUUUCAGAAACCCUAAACUGAAGGUAACAGUAUUCAGA